UACGGGGGGGGCAAGCGUUGUUCGGAAUUACUGGGCGUAAAGGGCUCGUAGGCGGCCAACUAAGUCAGACGUGAAAUCCCUCGGCUUAACCGGGGAACUGCGUCUGAUACUGGAUGGCUUGAGGUUGGGAGAGGGAUGCGGAAUUCCAGGUGUAGCGGUGAAAUGCGUAGAUAUCAGGAAGAACACCCGUGGCUAAGGCGGCUCUCUAGUACGGUACUGACGCUGAGACGCGAAAGCGUGGGGAGCGAACAGG
rnacentral:rRNA from 1 species